UGGUCGAACAAGCACGCCAGGGGCGAUCCCCACUCUCUCAAAACCCUAGCUUCACAAAUUUGAUCAAUUGAAGGUUAAUCCUUGUCCCAAAUUGAAAUCUGAACAGUGAUUCGUGAUCCUCAUCACAAGGGGGUUACAAGGAAAGGAUACUGGAACGUCAAGUGAACAAGCUGGUGGUGAUUUGCGGUUGAAGGGUUUGCUCUAAAGGUGAUGAGGUGAAUCUUAUGGAUGACGGUCAAGCAACGUAGAAGAACCGAACACGACUUUUGAAGCUUCCGCAAUGUUUUAAUCUUACUUAGACUUUGUUCACGGGUUGUAAACAAUUUCUUAAUCAACUUUUAAAACGUUCCAACUUAGUCAUUACUUGACUAAAGUUGACGUACUUAUGAACUCCAUUAAGGAAUGUUUUGUUACGUAACCAAUAUUUUAGUUGAAAUGGUGUAUUUUAUUUCUAAAAUCAAAUGUUAA
rnacentral:lncRNA from 1 species